rnacentral:rRNA from 1 species
UACGAAGGGGGCGAGCGUUGUUCGGAAUUACUGGGCGUAAAGGGCGCGUAGGCGGCCGAUCAAGUCAGAUGUGAAAGUCCUGGGCUUAACCUGGGGACUGCAUUUGAUACUGAUUGGCUUGAAUGCAGGAGAGGAUAGCGGAAUUCCCAGUGUAGAGGUGAAAUUCGUAGAUAUUGGGAAGAACACCGGUGGCGAAGGCGGCUAUCUGGACUGUGAUUGACGCUGAGGCGCGAAAGCUAGGGGAGCAAACGGG